rfam:Lupinus angustifolius cultivar Tanjil contig_27722, whole genome shotgun sequence.
UGAUGUGAUUGUAUCAAUACUAAUGCACUAGAUCUCAUCAGAAUUCCGCAGCUAAGUAUGCUUUGGCGAGAGUACUACUAGGAUGAGUGACUUUCUGGGUAGUCCUCAUGUUGCACCUC